ensembl:lncRNA
CUUGAAUGCUCAAACUGGCAAGACUUAAAAUUACAUGCAUGUUAUUAACUUUUUUGACUAUCCAAGAGCAUUAAUAAACAAUAUCAAUAUAAGAGAAUGUUAAGUUAGAUUUGAAUUUCCAUGGUGUGUUGAAUUAAAACGUUCUGUCAAACUAUAGCCUAUAAGUGCCUAAAUAAUAUGAAAUACAUUAUACAUCCUAUGUAAACAAGUUAUUGUUAAAUAGGCUAUUACUUUAUUGCAGUUAUGUUAUCAACCAACUUUGCAUGUGUGGAUGAUAGCACAAAAGAACAUUUUACUAAAAUCAACAUAUAAGCAAACAAACAAAUAAAUAAACCUUAUGAGGGAGCAUGACCCAGGACUCCACUAAAACCCUCCCCCCGUCAUGUUCAACCCAAAAUUACACCCUUGGUUGGAGGUAUACUCAGGACAGUGGUCCUCCAUGACCGAAGUUGUCCAGCCCAGAUGAGGGAGCCUUUUGAUGUCAGCUGUCGUCAUCUUUAUGGAAUGUAGGGGAAAUUUGUAGGUUGGUGACAGCACCAACUGCUGGUCAAAAAUGUUACAACAACAAGUUCCUCGCGUCUAUUUAAACGCUGGUGUGAGCAUGAGAGAGUCACAGAGCGGAGUAAACUCAGACGGCGAGGACACACAGACCGCAGAAUUACAACCAUGAAUGCUGUAAAUGCUGUGCAACUGUUCUUUCUGGUUUGGAGCUUUACUGCUGUCUGUCAAGCUGAUAAAGAUAUCAGUGUAAGCUGUGAUGAUGUGACUGGAUCUGUGGGGAAAGAAGUAACUCUCACCUGCAACGUCUCACUACAGAGCGGUGAUUGUUCCAUUAAAAUGUGUAUGUUUCGAUACCCUAAUGACUCAGCCAUCUGUGAACAAGAGCUUCUUAAAGACUCCAGCUUCGCAUGCCGCUACACUCCAACUACAGCGAUGACAGAAAAUUUCAGCUUCUUUGUGCAAACAAAUUGUGGAAGUAAUGCAACAGAAUUCACUGUGGAUGUAACAGAGUCAUCAUUAGACGAAGCAGAUGUACGUGAAGAUAAAGGAUCAAAGGAUGAUGGAUCUAUGGAUGCUGUCAUCAGUACAGUUGUGGGCUUAUCUGUCAUCGUCAUCCUCAUCCUCAUCAUCAUCUUAAUAACAAUAAUUUGCAAAAAACAAUCUUUUGGGUGCGAGAAAAGGAUGUUUCUGUGUAUCAAACAUGAUGAUGGCAACAGUAAUUGUCCUGAACAAGUGAUAUAAUAUUGAUUCAGCAAAACAAAACUAUUGACUUUUCUACGAGUUCUCAUGUGGUGCUCAUGAAACACACAAACUCUAUUUAAACACCACUAUAAACUACAUACUCUACUAUCUGUUGUAUCUCAAACUACUUAAUAUAUAACUCUGGAUGUUGGUUUAAAACUCUGUUUCUGUUUUAUACAAGUUUCUGUGAAAUAACAGCAUAUUAUUGAUCUGUUUGAUCAGUUUGUAUAUUUGUAUAUGUGACU